rnacentral:rRNA from 1 species
CCCUAUGGGGCGCGGCAGGGAUUUGGCCGAACAGGCCAUUACGGCGGCCGAUUAUGAAAAGACGCUGAUGUGGUUUUAUCAGGAAAGCCUGACGUGCGAAAUUCAGCUCAAGGCCACCUGCGCGCCGCAUUAUUUCCGUAUCAUGCGACAGAACAAGCCCAGAGGAGGCAAGCCGGUCAAAAAAGCGGGAGGCCAUUUUCACGAAUCCACCCGCGGGUGUCUGGGGGGAAUUACAUUUUGUUUCAUUUCCCAUGUCGGACAGGUGCAGCCCUGUGGCUAUCUCGAACUGGAUUGCGGAAAUGGGCAAAAGCAGAGUUUUGGGUACAUCUGGGAGACCUCCGCGGUGUUUCGCAAUCUACGCGAUUACAGCAAGUAUGGCGGCAAAUGCGGCCGUUGUGAAUUUAUCAAAGUCUGCGGCGGCUGCCGCGCGCGGGCGUAUGAGGCGACGGGGGACUAAUUGGCGGGGGAGC